UCCUCCAAGGCUAAAUACUCCUGACUGACCGAUAGUGAACCAGUACCGUGAGGGAAAGGCGAAAAGAACCCCGGCGAGGGGAGUGAAAAAGAACCUGAAACCGUGUACGUACAAGCAGUGGGAGCACAGAGCAAUCUGUGUGACUGCGUACCUUUUGUAUAAUGGGUCAGCGACUUAUAUUCUGUAGCAAGGUUAACCGAAUAGGGGAGCCGAAGGGAAACCGAGUCUUAACUGGGCGUUAAGUUGCAGGGUAUAGACCCGAAACCCGGUGAUCUAGCCAUGGGCAGGUUGAAGGUUGGGUAACACUAACUGGAGGACCGAACCGACUAAUGUUGAAAAAUUAGCGGAUGACUUGUGGCUGGGGGUGAAAGGCCAAUCAAACCGGGAGAUAGCUGGUUCUCCCCGAAAGCUAUUUAGGUAGCGCCUCGUGAAUUCAUCUCCGGGGGUAGAGCACUGUUUCGGCAAGGGGGUCAUCCCGACUUACCAACCCGAUGCAAACUGCGAAUACCGGAGAAUGUUAUCACGGGAGACACACGGCGGGUGCUAACGUCCGUCGUGAAGAGGGAAACAACCCAGACCGCCAGCUAAGGUCCCAAAGUCAUGGUUAAGUGGGAAACGAUGUGGGAAGGCCCAGACAGCCAGGAUGUUGGCUUAGAAGCAGCCAUCAUUUAAAGAAAGCGUAAUAGCUCACUGGUCGAGUCGGCCUGCGCGGAAGAUGUAACGGGGCUAAACCAUGCAC
rnacentral:rRNA from 1 species